rnacentral:rRNA from 1 species
UACGGGGGGAGCAAGCGUUGUCCGGAUUCAUUGGGCGUAAAGAGCUCGUAGGCGGCUUGGCAAGUCGGGUGUGAAACCUCCAGCUCAACCUGGAGACGCCACCCGAUACUGCCAUGGCUAGAGUCCGGUAGGGGACCACGGAAUUCCUGGUGGUAGCGGUGAAAUGCGCAGAUAUCAGGAGGAACACCGAUGGCGAAGGCAGGUCUCUGGGCCACUACUGACGCUGAGAAGCGAAAGCGUGGGGAGCGAACAGG